rnacentral:SRP_RNA from 1 species
GCUCUGCGCAGUGGCGGGUGCCUGUAGUCCCAGCUACUUGGGAGUGCCACCAACACAAAAUCAGAGGCUGGAGGAUCUCUUGAGUCGAGGAGUUCUGGGCUGUAGUGUGCUAUGCCGAUCGGGUGUCCGCACUAAGUUCGGCAUGAAUGUGCUGACUUCCUGGGAGCGGGGGACCACCAGGUUGCGUAAGGAGGGGUGAACCUGCACAGGUCUGAAACAGAGCAGGGCAGAACUCCCAUGCUGAUCAGUAGUGAGAUCACCUGUGAAUAGCCACCGUACUCCAGCCUGGGCAACAUAGCGAGACCCAUCUCUU